UACCGAGGGUGCAAGCGUUAAUCGGAAUUACUGGGCGUAAAGGGUGCGUAGGUGGCUGAACAAGUCAGAUGUGAAAUCCCAGGGCUUAACCUUGGAACUGCAUUUGAAACUGUUGAGCUAGAGUACAGUAGAGGGAAGUGGAAUUUCCGGUGUAGCGGUGAAAUGCGUAGAUAUCGGAAGGAACAUCAGUGGCGAAGGCGACUUCCUGGACUGUAACUGACACUGAGGCACGACAGCGUGGGUAGAGAACAGG
rnacentral:rRNA from 1 species